GACGAACGCUGGCGGCGUGCUUAACACAUGCAAGUCGAGCGGUAAGGCCCUUUCGGGGGUACACGAGCGGCGAACGGGUGAGUAACACGUGGGUGACCUGCCCUUAGCUCUGGGAUAAGCCUGGGAAACUGGGUCUAAUACCGGAUAUGACUCCAUGACGCAUGUUGUGGGGUGGGAAGCCUUGUGCGGCUAGGGAUGGGCCCGCGGCCUAUCAGCUUGUUGGUGGGGUGAUGGCCUACCAAGGCGACGACGGGUAGCCGGCCUGAGAGGGCGACCGGCCACACUGGGGACUGAGACACGGCCCAGACUCCUACGGGAGGCAGCAGUGGGGAAUCUUGCGCAAUGGGCGAAAGCCUGACGCAGCGACGCCGCGUGAGGGAUGACC
rnacentral:rRNA from 1 species